CGGUCCUUUCUGAGUGGUUGUAUCAACAAGGCUGUUCAAUCUUUGCACCCAGAGGUUGCAGUAAGUCUGGAUGCCACAUCAAACUGUUUGUGGUACUUCUAAACUUCGUGGAAGAGCCCUGUUUCAUAAAUCUGAGACAGCCUUGGUCUGAGGGAGCAAAGACAGAGAAUUCACAUGCUGCCCAGGCAUAGCCACAUAGCAGGUGGACAUCCCUGGAUACUUUUCUGACCCUCACUGGAUUUUCCUGGAAGUACGGAGAGCUACAUCCAGAGAACUCUGAACAUUUUGGAAGGACCCCAAUCCUGCAAACAAUGAAUGGCAAUAAAUCCUGGGACUGGAAAGGUCUUCCAAGAAACAAAAGGAAAUUUACCUAUUUCUUAAACAGAACAAAACCCAUUAUAUCUUAUCAUUACCAUGUGACAGCAUUGGACAAUUUUAAACAUGUAAGGCACUUUAUGGAAACUUCUUGAUCUUUUUUUUCUUAUAUUAAGCAUUUUCUAUUUCAUCAACAUAGGGACUGUUUCAUCAUUACUCAUCAAUCGUUCCUAACAAUGCUUAAAACUAAAACAAUAAGGAAGCAGAACAAUGAUGAAAUUGCCUAGAAAGAUGAUGCAACUGCAAAAUAUAUCAUUAUUGCCCCAUCAUCACUAUGAUUGUUUAUAGUGUCGACUGAAGUAUUACAUCAUCAUUCAAGAAGAUAUAAAAGAAGCCUGGAGACAUUUUUUUUUUGAGACACCAUUUUUACAGCCUACUUUGUUUCACUAAACACAGUUUAUAAUUCAGAAUUAUUUUUUCCAUCCAUAACUUCAAAUAGAAGAAAAGUGACAGAGGAAGAUAUUUCAAAAUUAUUAAAUGAAUCAGAAGAUGAAUGCAAAAAGACAGAGAGCAGUAAGCUAGACUCUAAUGAUUAGGGUAAAAUUGAAAUUGAUUAUACAAGUGAAAUCUCAGACUAUGAGUCUUCAUAAGACAAUGGAUUUUCUUAAACUAUAGAACCAAUGAGUGAACAAUGCAUUUCAAAGAGAAAAAAGGAAAUAUACUACAGUAGUUCCCUCUUAUCCACAAAAAAAAAUGUAUUCCAAGAUAUCCAGUAGACACCUGAAACAAUGAAUAAUGCUGAAUUCUAUGUAUGCUGUGUUUUCUUGAUCUGAAAACCGAGAUAGCUAAUAAGUGUCUCACAGACAGGUAGCUUAGAGAGCGUGGAUAUAUCGGACAAAGGGAUGAUUCACAUACUUGGUGGAAUAGAGCGUGAUAACAUGACAUGCUACUCAGAAUGGUGUCCAAUUUAAAACUUGUGAGUUGUUUAUUUCAGGAAUUUUCCAUUUGAUAUUUCCAGACUGUGGUUGACUGUGGGUUACUGAAACUGCAAAUAGCAAAAUCAUGGAUAAGAGGACACGACUGUAUUCUCAUCUAGUUAGCCCUUUAACAGGAAGGAAUUUAUCCUGUUAUAUUUUGUGACAAGAACCUGAACCAUUUCAUUUUGCUAAAAGAGCAUGUCACAGUACUCUUUCUUUAUAAAAUUCAUGUGCCAAAAUCUGUGGUUUCUAAGUGCACAAAUGCUAAAGAAAGAGAAAGGCAGGCAUCCAAAAGAAAUGGACAAUGUGAAUUUAAAAAUAAUUGAAUGCAUUAUUGUAAUCUGUUUGUAAAUACAAAAAUGAAAACCUGGCCAGGCACAGUGGCUCACGCCUGUAAUCCCAGCACUUUGAGAGGCUGAGGUGGGCGGAUCACGAGGUCAAGAGAUCAAGGCCAUCCUGGCCAACAUGGUGAAAUCCCGUCUCUACUAAAAAUAGAAAAAAAAUUAGAUGGGCACGGUGGCCUGCACCUGCAGUCCCAGCUACUCGCAAGGCUGAGGCAGAAUUGCUUGAACCCGGGAGGCAGAGGUUGCAGUGAGCCGAGAUGGCAGCACUGCACUCCAGCCUGGUGACAGAGUGAGACUACAUCUCAAAAUAAAUAAAUAAAUAAAUAAAUAAAUAAAGAACGAAAGAAGGAAGGAAGGAAGGAAAUGUUUUAUUAUGAAAUGAAGAUGACAUUUUCUUUUCAACAAAAUUAUGGACCAUCAAGGAUUACAAAAAUGAAAGUACUACAUUUUGAUGAUGCACGUUCUAGAAAAACCAGAAGUAAUAAUAUAUAAUAGAACCUAUUAAAGAUAUAUUCAAAAUUUGAAAUUGGUAUCUGCAAGAUGAAUACACCGAAGGCUCAUAGAUGAUAGCUGAUGAGCUGUUUGUUUCUUUCUGAAGAUAUUUCCCAUUUGAAGUAUAUACAUCUUUGAAAACAGGGAAUAUAAGAUAGAAACAUUUUGUUUUACUAUAUUUAAAUUCUUAUCAAAACUUUCACUUUCCCUUUAUUCCUACUCCUGUAAACUAUUAGAAAAACUAAAUAAUUUCUUUUAAUAAUUAAAACUCCAAGAGAUUGAUAGAGAAAAUUACUCAUUCCUGGUAUACUGAGAUAAAAAUGUAUAUUUUCUAUGUCUUCAUUGUAUACUUAUCAAGUUAUCCUUUUUCAUACAAUUAUUUAUGUCUUAGCUUACCUCUUUUCUGGACCACCAGCUUGCUGAGAGGAUUCAACAACUACUUACUGAAUAAACAUUAAAAUUCCCGAAACUUUUGUUGUGUGAAAAUAAUUAAAUGAUUGGAAUUAGAGUGAAUAUGUUUUUAUGGAACUAUGCCUACCUUGGAGCAGGAUUUUUUUCAGAAGUCUAAAGCAAAGCUAAAUGGUACCUAGUCUUGUCUAAUACAAGCAGUGAGCUCUGAAAUACAUUAAACCAUUAAAUAACAGUGACUAUAAUGCAAUUACAUUUGACCUCUUCUCAGCGAGAUUUAACCAAAAAUAUAGUUAAGCACCACCAAAGUUCAAGAAAAGGAUCUUAAUAAAAUGAGAGUACUAACUUAUUCCUUGAGGCUCUUUCUAGCUAUGGACUUAAAACCCAUUGAAUUGGAAUACAGGCUGCCAAAGAAUGCCUUAUUACAAUCAGAGAAGAUUUUGAUAGGUGAGUACCCUCAAUUUAAAGAAAACAAAUGACACAAAAAGCAGAAUAAAUUACCGUGACAUAAUUCUUGGCUCAAGUAAAAGUCAGACAGUAGCUGAAAUUUUAAUAGUGGAAUAUCUUCUAAGGGAUAAACUUUAACUUGUAUUAAACUUUAAUCAUAAUAGUUACAGAGAUGAAAGCUAAAAAAAAUUAUUAAAAUUACUAAGCACAAGCACACUAGCCCUGGUCCUUGUACUGGACGUUUAAAUUGGUUUCUUUAUCUAUAGUGAAUAUAAAGAGGUCUGUGAACCAUGUGAUUUCUUCCUUACAGAAAUUUGUCUCUUUAACUUGGGUGACUCUGCCCAGAAACCCAUGCAAUUUAUUAAGCCCAGAUAGAAGUUGGUGAAGAAGGAAUAUGAAAAUGCCAAGCAAGAUCCUGAUGUGUUUUCUUAAAAAUAGUCUACCUAAAUGAAUAAAAUUAUCAGUAUAGCUGUCACUUAAGAAAAAUGUGCUAAGCCACACAAAAUUGAAAAGGAAAUUGGAAUUACUGGAAGGUUGAUAAAGAUAAAUAAAUCUGGCGGAAUAUACCUUGACCAUCUGUACUAUCAAUUUCCAAAAAAAGAAAAAGAAAAAAACCCAUAAAUUGUGUUUUGAUGUUGCAAAUAAUGUCUGUCUUGACCAGUUUUAAUAGUUCUCUUAUGACUAAGUGACAAGUAGACUACUUUAAGCCCUAGGAAAAAAAGUGGAGGUUAAUCAGUUUCAAGACAGCUACCAUAAGACGAAUCAAUCUCUUUCUUUCUGUCUCAAUCUCUCCCCGACCCUCAUCUCUCUGUCUUCCCUAAGGCAGGUUAUGAGUUAUUAAAACACAUCCUGUAUAACACUGACCAUCUGCACAACCAAAGAUCUCAAUAUGAAGAUGUUAGGUCAUUAAAUGGAGAAAGUAUUUCUGGAGAGGGGAGAUCUUCGAUGUUCACAAUAUACCUAAAAUUAUGAAAUGUACAUACAGGUCUAUGCCAGUUGCCCAUAGGACCAGUGUUGAUAGCAUGCAUUCACUUCCUAGAUUUAAAUAUAAUUUUCUUCAUGUUUCAACUUAAUAUAGAGUAAGUCAGUACAAGAGAAUUUUGAUUCAGUACAACCAAAUAAGCAGAUCUUUAUAAUUUAUACUGGUUUAUUAAGAUGGUCCCUAUAAUUGAAGUGAGGAUUAUCACUGACCCUAGGAUAGUGCAUAUUCACUAUUCACAACAUAAAAUCAGAAAGAGCAAUUCAAUUAAUCUUCAGGUUUAUAGACCAAAUCUUAGCUAAAAAUUUUAAGAAUAUCUUAGAAGCAUUUUAUUUGAUGGGAUAAAAGGCAAAACUUGGGACUUAUUCAUAGUGUCAGCACAUUUCAUCAGCAAGGGUUUUCAAAUUAGAACUGCAAUUUGGGUUACUUUUGAGGGUGUGACAGUAUUCUACAAAGGAAAAACUGAAUCCCAGAGGGAAAAUAAAAUUAUAGUUUUGAAAACUCAUUACCAAUAAUUAAUAGUGAACUCUAGCUAAACAAUACAGGUGUUCCACUAAUCCCAAACAGAAACAGAUGGAAGCACAAAUGUUUUAUAAAUAGUGGAUACAUGCAGAGCAAUAAACUUGGCAAGAAUUGUCUUAUUCUUUAAUUGUCAGUCAGAGUCAAUGUCUCGCCACUUACAUUUUCUCUAAAUUAAUAUGCCCAGAUUAAAUCUGUGUUUCUCAUUCCUUAUUUUUGAAAAUGCAAGCCAUAUUUAAUGCUUUCUCACUCCAUGUUUUGUAUUGCCACACUGACAAAGAUAAUAUUCCUGAAUUUUGUUUAGGUACAUUUACAUAACAUCAUAUAGUUUAUUAAAUGAAACAACAGGCAUAUUACAUAGGCUUCCCUUCUCUCCCUUCUUCCUUUUCAACUCCUGGACAAGAAAUAACUCGCUUUUCAAGUAUUUCUUUCAUUUCUUAAACCUUCAAAAUAAUGAAUGUAGGUAGAUGAAAUAAAUUAAGAAUUCAAUUAGUAAGUCAAUUAAUGGUACAAAGAAAUCUAAUCCUAUAGAACUAGGAAUUAUCUUGAGGGGUUGCAAUACUCUAUAAUGUUGUAGGUCUGAACUUAGGACUUUUUAGAGUAUGUUUGCAUAUGCCUCUAGAAGGGCUUUCUCUGUGUGGUCGUUAACAAAAUCAUCUUUAAUUCAUGCACAGAUGAUUUUAUUAUUUCUUCUAACCUUACCCUGUUGUUAGAUUUUCAGAAAGAAAUGAUUGGUAUUGCGACUAUUAAACUACUAGCAUCCCUCACUGAAUUUCUUAGUGCAUGGUUCUCUGUGUCUUGAGACUUUCUUAGGAAUUAUAUUUUAUGAUCAACAAAUAACUACUAUGAAUGAUUUCAGUGGGACGGAAAACAGAUUAUUUUCUUCAAGUAAAGAAAUUUUAAAACUAAUAGAAUAUGAAGAAAAUAAUGCAUGUUAGUCAUUUAUUAAUUCAUGCUCAUCAACAACAUAGAUUCAUCUCAUCUCAUAUGUAAGUAAACACCUAGUUGACUCUAUAAAAAUUAUGUGUAGAGUAUGAAUUUCUUGAACCAACACAGGUGAACAAAAUGGUUAGCACACCUUUGACCUAAAAUUGAACUUUUUGUUUUUUUGAGAUGGAGUCUUGCUCUGUGGCCCAGGCUGGAGUACUGUGGCGAGAUCUCGGCUCACUGCAAAUUCUUUCUCCCAGGUUCAAGCAAUUCUCCUGCCUCAGCCUCCCAAGUGGCUGGGAUUACAGGCACCCACCACCAAACCUGGCUAAUUUUUGUAUUUUUAGUAGAGACAGGGUUUCACCAUGUUGGCCAGGCUGGUCUCAAACUCCUGACCUCAGGUGAUCUGCCCGCCUCAGCCUCCCAAAAUGCUUGCAUUAUAGGCAAGACCCACCGGGCCCGGCCAAAUCGAACUUUUUAAUUAUUUAUUUAUUUUGAGACAGGGUCUCACCCUGUAGCCCAGAAUGGAAUGUGAGCCAUCAUAGCUCACACACCCCUGCAGCCCCAACCUCCUGGGCCCAAGCAAUCCUCCCACCUCACCCUACCAAGUAGCUGGGACAAUGGGUGCAUACCACCAUGCCCAGAUAAUUUUUAUAAUUUUUUUUUGCCAGUUGCAGUGGCUCAUGCCUGUAAUCCCAGCACCUUGGGAGGCCGAGUCAGGCAGAUAACCUAAGGUCAGGAGUUUGUGACCAGCCUGGCUAACAUGGUGAAACCCCAUGUCUACUAAAAAUACAAAACUUAGCCGAGUAUGUUGGCAGGGGCCUGUAAUCCCAGCUACUCAGGAGGCUGAGGCAGGAGAAUCGCUUGAACCCCGGAGGCAGAGGUUGCAGUGUGCCGAGAUCACACCAUUGCACUCCAGCCUGAGUGACGAGAGUGAGUCUCUGUCUCAAAAAAAAAAAAAAAAUUUGUACAGAUGCGGUCUCCAUAUGUUGCCCAGGCUGGUCUCAAACUCCUGGGCUGAAGUGAUCCUCCUGCCUCAGCUUCCUAAAGUGCUGUGAUGACAGGUAUAAGCCACCACACCCAGCCCUAACAUUGAAUUUUUGAUAUAUAUAGACUGAAACUUGUAAGUAUUGAGAGGUUCUCUUCAUGUAGGGAACUCACCAGGCAGGUAGUGGUGAAAUGAACAAAUUAAAGUUAUAACAUUUUGUUUGUAGUCACUAGAUGAUUUGUCAACAAUGCAAGGUUGUGACUGUGAUCUUUAUUUUAAAUGUAAGAACACUAAAAAUGAGGUAGAGUUCAAUUAUUUGCUCAAGACCUAAUACUAGAAAAGGAUGGAGUUAAGAAUUAUCACCGUAUUUCUGUCCAAAGCCUUGUCUUUCCACCAUAUCACACUACCUUCCUGAAGGUUUAUUUCCAAUUAUGCUAUGUUACUAUACACAAACAUCGAUAGUAAUUAGUUUCACCUAUUAAGUUAUAAUAUUUAGCGAUUUUCCCCCUCAUUUAAAUUUCUUACUGAAAAUGUAGAAGGAAAAGGGGAGGAGGAGGAAAUUAUUUAACUAGAAUAAAUUACUGGGAUCAACAACAUUUUCUGGAGUGCAAAGGUUCUCAUUGGUCUAGUUUUCUAGAGCCUAGAUGUGUUACCUAUUUGUUUUAGAAAUGACAUGUCUCUUUGAUGACAUACACAUAAAUUAUAAUUAUAUAUUUUUGAAAGGCU